CCGCCAUGCAUUCUUUUUAGACCACACUCCAUGCCUGUGUUUCGCUACGUCACGUCACUAGCACGUUGUUAUUUGUAUUAUUUGUUAAAGGCCAUGAAAACAAACCUGCGUUGCACUCUCUUGUCAUGCAGAGACACCACUGAGGCUCACUCGUGAAGUUCAGUGAGAGCCAGGCAGCAUGCAGCUCUCUCCUCCUUACUCUGGGCAGCGCCGUCCACCAUGCCCACGCCCGUCGUCAUGCUACGACUGCGGCUGGUCAGCUUCUUCAGCUCGCUGGCGAAAGACAUCAUCUUCUUCUUGUCCUCGCGCACCACCUGCAGCCAUGACGGUACAGUGGCAUCAUUAUGUCUUUUUUUUUAAACUAAUACAGGUGGGAGUCGUCCAUGUACGUACCAGUCAAAAGUGUGAAGACACUUUCUCAUGCUAUUGAAUGGCAGUGUGUCAAGACUUUUGACUGGGACUCUAUGUUUCACCUUAUGUUUGUUUCAUUUAUGUAUGAUAGUUGCUAUAGCAUCGCCUGUGUAGAAAACCACAUGUUUAAACCAAGAAAACAAAACAACCCAAGGUUACAGUAAGGUAACAAUAUAUAGGCUCCAGCAUACCCGCGACCCUGGUGAGGAUAAGUGGCAUAGAAGAUGGAUGGAUGGAUGGGUACAACAAAAUAACAUGGAACUAUAGAUAAAUUAAAUAACUACAGGUAAAAUAACAAAAGAAUAGUAACAACAAAUAUGUACAAAAUAAUCUCAAGUAGUAAUCUAAAGCAAAAAUAAUCUGUGACCCAAAUGAGGACAAGCAGUACAGAAAAAAAAUUUGGAUAAAAUAAAAACCAAUUGAAAACAAGUACAAUAAAAAUAAAAAAGUAACAGAUGCAAGUAAUAAGUAAAAAAAAAUAACAAAAGUUGACAUAACAUUAAUUAAAAAAAGAAAUAAAUUACAAUAAAUGUAAUUAAUAAAUAAAGAAGUAAAUAAGUAAAAUAUAAAUGAUAUAAAAAAAAGGAAUAAAAUACAAAUUAUUUCAUAUUGAUGAAGAAAGGCUCAAUAGUGGGAGUGAUAGGCUCCAGCUCCACUGUAACCCUAAGCUGUAUUGGAAAUGGAUGGAUGGAUGGACGGACGGAUGGAUGGAUGGAUGGAUGGAUGGAUGGAUGGACGGACGGAUGGAUGGAUGGAUGGACGGACGGACGGAUGGAUGGAUGGAUAGUGGGAGUGAGGACACUUAAUGAUGUUUUCAGUUAUUAAAUUACUGGGAAAUUGAAAUCUGCAAACUGAUUGGUCCAAAGACUUCCUGUCUUAAAAAAAAACAACUAUACACGGAGCGGGCUUAAAAAAUAUAUAUGACAACUUUAUUUAUCAGCGAAGCAGACAUUGACCCAUUGUCAAUGGCCAGAUGACAUAGAAAAUGGUAAAAAAACAAAAGACCAGUAAGUUAGUAGUACUGUUAGUACAUGUUAUUAAGAGUACUAAUGAAGCCACGCUACCUGCUCCUUCAAUUUGAGAAUGAACUUUCCCGCCCCCCUCCAGCGACUCUGAACGUGGUAAACACACUCGUGAUCCAGAAGGACACGCUGCACGGACUUGGCGGCGGACGACUUUUUGGAAGGGACGUCCUUGGUCACUUCCUCUAUGAGUACGUAGUCGCUGGAGUUGGGGUUGGACAGGAUGCUGUAGGAGUACUUCGCCUUGGAUAGAGUCUGGAGAGGAGAGGAGAGGGAGGGCACGUUUAGAACAUUCCAGAACAUUGCAGAACAUUUCAACGUGUCUUCUAACCUGUUGUAUGAUGUCCUGUGCUGAGCUGUAGCGAGGAGCCUUGAUGACCGUGUGAGGCUGCUCCGGAGAUACUUCAUGAACCUGGACCAAGAACAUGUCCUCCUCUACACCUCCUCCUCCAUCGACAACUGCCACCUCCUCCUCACCCUCCGCCACUGUGUUCUUCUCAUUUAAAUUCUGCAAGCACAGAGACUCUGCCUUUGAACUCACUUACUGGAUGCUUUAUUAGGUGAUGUAUCCAUAGAUCCAACCACAAGAGGGAGCCAAACUCCAGCUGGAGACCACUUUAAUCAACGCCUCCUCAGCUGCUAGGGAGCGGCGCUGAGAAGAUCGCUUGGAGUCUCCGCGCUCCUUGGCCAAGGGAAGUUUCUCCUCGCACAAGAAGUACUGGUUCCCCUUUGUUGGUACAAUCUGACAGGAGGAAACAAGAGCUAUGGCUGAACAACUAUGUUGACAACAGGUGGAAUUUUACUUAUAGUUUCUUCAUGAUUAUAAAGACGGAUGGAUGGCAAUCUGACCUGGGAUGAAGGAGUGGCGCCCCCUGCUGGGCUUUCUUCUAUUCUUCUGCUGUAGAUGAACAAGCUGGACACUUCCAUGGACUCGUUAUGCUGCGUCCUUAACUGUACGUGUCUGUAACCUGCAAGAAAACACACACAGACGUGAUUAGAUCUGCUAGCCCAAAAAGACUCACUCCUGGAGCCACUGAAAUGCACGUCAUACCAGGCUUGAGGGCUCGAAGGGGCAGAGUCCUUUGAGCAGUGGUCUGCGAACUGUUAUUCUCCACCACGGCGAAGCGCAGGAAGCACAGCUCCUCGAAGUGAACACUGAAGUGGAAGCGCUCGCUCCACAUGGGGUUCAGCGUGUUGCGAUGGAUGGGCUUGGUGCGGAAAUGGCAGCUGUCGCCUGGCAUGCCCAGCACAUCCACUUCCACGCAGGGACUUCCCGAGCCGUUGGCGGGACACACGUUCUGACCCGACACGAUCUGAGGACAAAUCCAUGAUAAAUAAGUGAUGAUAUGAGAAGUGUAACACGCUGAUAAAGAACGCA